rnacentral:rRNA from 1 species
AGGACGAACGCUGGCGGCGUGCUUAACACAUGCAAGUCGAGCGGAAAGGCCCUUCGGGGUACUCGAGCGGCGAACGGGUGAGUAACACGCGAGCAACCUGCCCUUAGCUCCGGGAUAGCUCCGGGAAACCGGAAUUAAUACCGGAUACGACCACGGCCGACAUCUGCUGUGGUGGAAAGGAUUCCGGCUAAGGAUGGGCUCGCGGCCUAUCAGCUAGUUGGUGGAGUAACGGCCCACCAAGGCGACGACGGGUAGCCGGCCUGAGAGGGCGACCGGCCACACUGGGACUGAGACACGGCCCAGACUCCUACGGGAGGCAGCAGUGGGAAUAUUGCGCAAUGGGCGAAAGCCUGACGCAGCGACGCCGCGUGGGGGAUGAAGGCCUUCGGGUUGUAAACCCUUUCAGCAGGGACGAAGCGAAAGUGACGGUACCUGCAGAAGAAGCGCCGGCUAACUACGCGCCAGCAGCCGC